UCUGGUGAUUAUAGCUAAGGGGAAACACCUCUUUCCAUUCCGAACAGAGAAGUUAAGACCUUAAACGCCGAUGGUACUGCAUUUUUAAGUGUGGGAGAGUAGGUAGUCGCCAGAU
rnacentral:rRNA from 1 species